AUUGAACGCUGGCGGCAGGCCUAACACAUGCAAGUCGAGCGGAUGAAGGGAGCUUGCUCCUGGAUUCAGCGGCGGACGGGUGAGUAAUGCCUAGGAAUCUGCCUGGUAGUGGGGGAUAACGUCCGGAAACGGGCGCUAAUACCGCAUACGUCCUGAGGGAGAAAGUGGGGGAUCUUCGGACCUCACGCUAUCAGAUGAGCCUAGGUCGGAUUAGCUAGUUGGUGGGGUAAAGGCCUACCAAGGCGACGAUCCGUAACUGGUCUGAGAGGAUGACCAGUCACACUGGAACUGAGACACGGUCCAGACUCCUACGGGAGGCAGCAGUGGGGAAUAUUGGACAAUGGGCGAAAGCCUGAUCCAGCCAUGACGCGUGUGUGAAGAAGGUCUUCGGAUUGUAAAGCACUUUAAGUUGGGAGGAAGGGCAGUAAGUUAAUACCUUGCUGUUUUGACGUUACCAACAGAAUAAGCACCGGCUAACUUCGUG
rnacentral:rRNA from 1 species